rnacentral:rRNA from 1 species
CGUAAGCGCGCGUAGCGGUUUUUAAGUCUGAUGUGAAAGCCCACGGCUCAACCGUGGAGGGUCAUUGGAAACUGGAAAACUUGAGUGCAGAAGAGGAAAGUGGAAUUCCAUGUGUAGCGGUGAAAUGCGCAGAGAUAUGGAGGAACACCAGUGGCGAAGGCGACUUUCUGGUCUGUAACUGACGCUGAUGUGCGAAAGCGUGGGGAUCAAACAGGAUUAGAUACCCUGGUAGUCCACGCCGUAAACGAUGAGUGCUAAGUGUUAGGGGGUUUCCGCCCCUUAGUGCUGCAGCUAACGCAUUAAGCACUCCGCCUGGGGAGUACGACCGCAAGGUUGAAACUCAAAGGAAUUGACGGGGGACCCGCACAAGCGGUGGAGCAUGUGGUUUAAUUCGAAGCAACGCGAAGAACCUUACCAAAUCUUGACAUCCUUUGACAACUCUAGAGAUAGAGCCUUCCCCUUCGGGGGACAAAGUGACAGGUGGUGCAUGGUUGUCGUCAGCUCGUGUCGUGAGAUGUUGGGUUAAGUCCCGCAACGAGCGCAACCCUUAAGCUUAGUUGCCAUCAUUAAGUUGGGCACUCUAAGUUGACUGCCGGUGACAAACCGGAGGAAGGUGGGGAUGACGUCAAAUCAUCAUGCCCCUUAUGAUUUGGGCUACACACGUGCUACAAUGGACAAUACAAAGGGCAGCGAAACCGCGAGGUCAAGCAAAUCCCAUAAAGUUGUUCUCAGUUCGGAUUGUAGUCUGCAACUCGACUACAUGAAGCUGGAAUCGC